rnacentral:pre_miRNA from 1 species
UUUGUACUCCCUCCAUCCCAAAAUUCUUGUCUUAAAUUUAUCUAAAUACGGAUGUAUCUAGUUACAUUUUAGUGUUAGAUACAUCCGUAUCUAAACAAAUGUAAGACAAGAAUUUUGGGACGGAGGGAAUACUAC